GCCAGGAGUGGUGGCGCACACCUGUAAUCCCAGCAGCUUAGGAGGCUAAGGCAGGAGGAUCAUGAGUUCAGCCUCACAACUUAGUCAGGACCUAUGCAACUCAGUGAGACCCUGUCUCUA
rnacentral:sRNA from 1 species